rnacentral:rRNA from 1 species
UACGGGGGGGGGCAAGCGUUGUUCGGAAUUACUGGGCGUAAAGGGCGCGUAGGCGGUCUGCUAAGUUGGAUGUGAAAACUCUGGGCUUAACCCAGAGCCUGCAUUCAAUACUGACAGGCUAGAGUUCUGGAGGGGAUAGCGGGAAUUCCUGGUGUAGCGGUGAAAUGCGUAGAUAUCAGGAGGAACACCGGUGGCGAAGGCGGCCAACUGGACCACAACUGACGGCUGGAGGCGCGGAAAGCGUGGGGAGCAAACAGG